GCACAAGCAGUGGAGUAUGUGGUUUAAUUCGAAGCAACGCGAAGAACCUUACCAGGUCUUGACAUCCCUCUGAAUGCCCUAGAGAUAGGGCCGGCCUUCGGGACAGAGGAGACAGGUGGUGCAUGGUUGUCGUCAGCUCGUGUCGUGAGAUGUUGGGUUAAGUCCCGCAACGAGCGCAACCCUUGAUCUUUGUCGCCAGCAGGUAAAGCUGGGCACUCUAAGAUGACUGCCGGUGACAAACCGGAGGAAGGUGGGGAUGACGUCAAAUCAUCAUGCCCCUUAUGACCUGGGCUACACACGUGCUACAAUGGAUGGUACAAAGGGCUGCAAGACCGCGAGGUUUAGCCAAUCCCAUAAAACCAUUCUCAGUUCGGAUUGCAGGCUGCAACUCGCCUGCAUGAAGCCGGAAUCGCUAGUAAUCGCGGAUCAGCAUGCCGCGGUGAAUACGUUCCCGGGCCUUGUACACACCGCCCGUCACACCACGAGAGUUUGUAACACCCGAAGUCGGUGGAGUAACCGUAAGGAGCUAGCCGCCUAAGGUGGGACAGAUGAUUGGGGUGAAGUCGUAACAAGGUA
rnacentral:rRNA from 1 species